GGCUGAAUUCAGUUCAGUGAGAUCUAUCAUCCCGAAGAGUUAAAACGUUAUGAAGUUCAACAUCAUUCUGUGUCUCACUUUCCUCAUACUGAUGGUUCUCCACUGUCAAGUUGAGGGCACACCACCGGAGCGUAAGAAGCGAAAAGAAUUGAUGAAGGUGCUCGUCAAACGUGCUCCUGUGCCAGACCAUCCGGAGCAGGGUACCAACAACAUAGGUUGUUUCUGGAUGGGUUGCUCUAAAAAGUGAUACUUCAGAGACAAGGCAGCGAAUUCGGGACAGCUUUACACUUUGACAACUCUAUUGGGAUGACCCAUCUAGGUUGCAACAAUCAUGCACUAUCAAGAUGGCUCUUUCACUAAAGUAAAACGUUGAAUAAAUUACAACACAAAUAGUUUCUUUAAUCUUUUAGAAGUAAGAUGGUACAGAAGAUGUUUUACAAACAAAACGGAUGUCUGCCGAACAAUAUAUGUAUACAAUAUAA